AUAUGCCUGGCUCCCUGUAUGCCACUCGCUUAGCUGCCAACAACUCAUACUACGUUGUUAACGACGUUGGCUCUACUGCGGAUGGCGUGCGAGGAGCCAAGCAUGA
rfam:Sorghum bicolor cultivar BTx623 chromosome 1, whole genome shotgun sequence.